AUGCCACCAAUAUCAAUACCAACACCACAACAAAUGCCAGCAAUACCAAUACCAACACCAAAACCAACACCAAUGCCACCACCACCACCAAGACCACAAACACCACCACUAAAACACCAAUACCAAUACUACCACCAAUGCCACCAAUGCUACCAAUACAAAUACCAAGACCACCAAUACCACCACCAAGACCACUAACACUACCGA
rnacentral:lncRNA from 1 species